rnacentral:sRNA from 1 species
UUGCUAUCUGCGAUAUGAACGAUUCGAACCUGCAGCAGGUUCGGGCCGAACGUAGUGAGGCACCGGAGCCGUAAGGCAACGGCCCGUAGGGCGAGCGGAGCGAGUCAUCCUGCACGACCCACCA